rnacentral:rRNA from 1 species
AGUGAACGCUGGCGGCGUGCCUAAUACAUGCAAGUCGAACGGAGUGGCGCACGGGUGAGUAAUAUAUAGCUAAUCUGCCCCUUGCUGGAGGACAACAGUUAGAAAUGACUGCUAAUACCCCAUAUCACGGGAUGAGACUAUAACGUAUCAGCUAGUCGGUGGGGUAACGGCCUACCGAGGCUAUGACGCGUAACUGGUCUGAGAGGAUGAGCAGUUACAUUGGAACUGAGACACGGUCCAAAAUACUACGGGAGGCAGCAGUAGGGAAUAUUGCACAAUGGGGGAAACCCUGACGCAGCAAAGCAGCGUGGAGGAUGACAAUUUUCGAAGCGUAAACUCGUUUUGUUAGGGAAGCGGUACCUAACGAAUAAGCACCGGCUAACUCCGUGCCAGCAGCCGCGGUAAUUC